AUGAAAACGGUAUGUUUUUGCAUGGGAUGUUGCACCUGAAGGGACUGGUAAGUGGGUUGUUAACAGUGGACUGACAGACUUUGAUAUUGGUGUGAGGUGUUUUGUUGUUGAUUAUGAUGAUGGCCUUAGAACUAAAGAAUACUAUUUGUAAAUGUAAAGCACAGGAAAUGUGGGUAAAAGUAGAAUCCCCCCCCAAAAAAGAAUUGUUGCUGAAAGUGUAGCUCGUGACUGCAGGUUUCCAGUCGUCUCAAACACUUUGACCUUUUUAUCCCUGUUUUGUAUGAAACCUAUCCUUUGCUCUGUAUUUAUUUAAAACGCAUUCCCUGUGGCUUAAGUUAAAAAUCAUGUAGUUUUCUGAAUCAUGCCUUACUGGUUCCAUAACUUGUUGUAGCAGUGUUAGGUCAAUAGACUGUGUAUAUGCUGAGCCUCUUGGAUUGUAGGGGCUUUCCUAACCUUCUGUGUUUACUCUGAAGUUGUUGGGGCAUUAAAGUGACAGUUCCAGUAUAAGUGAAUGUUGGAAAGGACGGUUUUAAGCGCUUCUACUAUAGCUACUUUGUCAUCUGUCUAGUGAAUCACUUCAACAGUUGAUAUUGAACCAAGUCUAAACCCCACAGGCGCUUGCUUUCCAGUGAACAGGUUUCUAUAUGGAAGGUCAUUCUGCUAUCUUUCCCACGGAGCUGGGUUUUACACACAAACUGAUGUAACAACCUAGUAGUGAGGUGGUGGUAGAUUCACUAGACUUUUUUCUGUUGCUUUUCCUUUAAUAUAAUGCAGGGUUGUGCUCCUAGAGAACCUGAAUGGUACCAACUAAAGGGCACAUUUCUGGAUGCUUCAGUUUCCCUGAACACAUGUUCAGUAAUUGUACUGCUUUUCAGAGACGAUCAUCAUCCAUAUAGUCUUACUGAGAGACGAUCAUCAUCCAUAUAGUCUUACUGAGAGACGAUCAUCAUCCAUAUAGUCUUACUGAGAGACGAUCAUCAUCCAUAUAGUCUUACUGAGAGACGAUCAUCAUCCAUAUAGUCUUACUGAGAUUCCCCCCCUUCUCUCUUGCUCCUUUAACUUGCUGCCUUAUCCUUCAGCAGAAAAAGCACCUUGUUUGGAGGCUCUGAAAGACUAACAAGCCAUUAAACUAAAAAUCUUAAACAAGAAAUGCAUCAAAUGGCAAAUGAAUGCUUGGUUAUACUCCCUGUCUGUAUCAAAUAAAUGAAAUGAAUGCUUGGUUAUACUCCCUGUCUGAGUAAAAUAAAUGAAAUGAAUGCUUGGUUAUACUCCCUGUCUGAGUAAAAUAAAUGAAAUGAAUGCUUGGUUAUACUCC
rnacentral:lncRNA from 1 species